UACGAAGGGGGCUAGCGUUGCUCGGAAUUACUGGGCGUAAAGGGUGCGUAGGCGGGUCUUUAAGUCAGAGGUGAAAGCCUGGAGCUCAACUCCAGAACUGCCUUUGAAACUGCAUCGCUAGAAUCAUGGAGAGGUUAGUGGAAUUCCGAGUGUAGAGGUGAAAUUCGUAGAUAUUCGGAAGAACACCAGUGGCGAAGGCGACUAACUGGACAUGUAUUGACGCUGAGGUGCGAAAGCGUGGGGAGCAAACAGG
rnacentral:rRNA from 1 species